GAUGAACGCUGGCGGCGUGCCUAAUACAUGCAAGUCGAGCGAACGGACGAGAAGCUUGCUUCUCUGAUGUUAGCGGCGGACGGGUGAGUAACACGUGGAUAACCUACCUAUAAGACUGGGAUAACUUCGGGAAACCGGAGCUAAUACCGGAUGAUAUUUUGAACCGCAUGGUUCAAAAGUGAAAGACGGUCUUGCUGUCACUUAUAGAUGGAUCCGCGCUGCAUUAGCUAGUUGGUAAGGUAAUGGCUUACCAUGGCAACGAUGCAUAGCCGACCUGAGAGGGUGAUCGGCCACACUGGAACUGAGACACGGUCCAGACUCCUACGGGAGGCAGCAGUAGGGAAUCUUCCGCAAUGGGCGAAAGCCUGACGGAGCAACGCCGCGUGAGUGAUGAAGGUCUUCGGAUCGUAAAACUCUGUUAUUAGGGAAGAACAUAUGUGUAAGUAACUGUGCACAUCUUGACGGUACCUAAUCAGAAAGCCACGGCUAACUACGUG
rnacentral:rRNA from 1 species